rnacentral:rRNA from 1 species
UACGGGGGGGGGCAAGCGUUGUUCGGAAUUACUGGGCGUAAAGGGCUCGUAGGCGGCCAACUAAGUCGGAUGUGAAAUCCCCAGGCUUAACCUGGGAACUGCAUCCGAUACUGGAUGGCUUGAAUCCGGGAGAGGGAUGCAGAAUUCCAGGUGUAGCGGUGAAAUGCGUAGAUAUCUGGAGGAAUACCGGUGGCGAAGGCGGCAUCCUGGACCGGCAUUGACGCUGAGUGAGCGAAAGCCAGGGGAGCAAAGCGGG